rnacentral:lncRNA from 1 species
UCUCAAAGCAAAAUGUAUAAAUUCAGUGUAAGACUUAAGUUUCUAGGGACAACAUCAUAAGACCAAUGUGCAUGAUAAAGUAAAAAUGGAAUUCACAUAGUUAAGUCUGUGGCUGCCGUUUUUUUUUAAACUCAUGAUCAAGUUCAUAACAAAAUUACUAGAUUACAAAAAGAAUGCAACACUAACAGAAUACAGAAGGGCAAUCAAUGAACAAAAGACAAAUAAAUAAGAAAUAUUGAUCCCGAAAAAAUCAGGGCUACGUCUGAGGGAAAACAGAAGUUGCUUCUUGCAAGGCACUCGCUGUGAACACAAUUUGAUAUGGAGAC